GAAGAAAGGUGAUCAGGAAGAGCCAUCAAAGUGUUAUCCUGGAAUUCAAGUGAAGACAGUGUUUCAAAGUGGAAAUGAACAGUGUCCUGUAACCCUCAGAGUGAGACUAGAGUCAGAAUGCAAGCUUUUCUCAUUUGAAAUCUCAGGGUAAGUCCAGGUCCUUACCUCCACCUAAAAGUUCUGCCAUCAAGGAACAUCUGCUCAUUAUCUUCUGUCCACACAUCAAAUGACUUCAAUGUGAUCCCUGGAUGUUCUCCAAAGAGCUGAAAGGAAAUAAAUAUUCUUUCUUUAUCACCAAAUACUUCAAAUGCAGAGUGGUUGUGCUACCAAGGCCUGAAACUUCGGAAAAACCUGCAUAACACAAAAUAUGUAAGAAGGCCCAUUCUUAUCAGCAACCAUAUAUGUACUUCUCAUCACUCUCUCAAGACCCUCUACUGAAUCAGAAGCAAACACUAGCUACAGAGAGAUAUAUGCCACAGAGAGGAUCCAGAGAGCUCAUCUCCGGUCAGUUAUCUGUAUUUGCAUGUCAACUACAGCAUCAAAAAGCAUAGGCAUGGAUACUAAGGACCCCCUCUGUACACCAACGCCAGUCCAAAGGAUAGUGUGUCACUGUGAACUGGAAAUUCAUCUCUCUUCUUCAUUUUUUUUCUACCUACUUUAUGCUUUAUCUCUAAGUUGAGGCUGUUUAUGGCCUCAUCCUCAAUUACCUUGUCCC
rnacentral:lncRNA from 1 species